AACGAACGCUGGCGGCAGGCUUAACACAUGCAAGUCGAACGCCCCGCAGGGGGAGUGGCGCACGGGUGAGUAACGCGUGGGAAUAUGCCCUUCGGUUCGGAAUAACACAGGGAAACUUGUGCUAAUACCGGAUACGAUCUACGGAUGAAAGAUUUAUCGCCGAGGGAGUAGCCCGCGUAGGAUUAGCUAGUUGGUGAGGUAAUGGCUCACCAAGGCGACGAUCCUUAGCUGGUCUGAGAGGAUGAUCAGCCACACUGGGACUGAGACACGGCCCAGACUCCUACGGGAGGCAGCAGUGGGGAAUAUUGGACAAUGGGCGCAAGCCUGAUCCAGCAAUGCCGCGUGUGUGAAGAAGGCCUUCGGGUUGUAAAGCACUUUAGCCUGGAAAGAAAAACUUUGGUUAACACCCAAAGUCUUGACGGUACCAGGAGAAUAAGCACCGGCUAACUC
rnacentral:rRNA from 1 species